ensembl:ncRNA lncRNA:CR46217 long non-coding RNA:CR46217
AAAUAAUUUUCGGAAAAUUGAAGGGCAAUUAAUCACAGACACUCGAUGGAAAAUGAGAUACAAAUUCGUAAACGGACCGCCCAUGGGUCUAAAAUAAAGAAGUUUCUUUGCCCGAGGACCGCAAAACAAAAAGAAAAGGUUAAGAACAUGCUGCGGCCGGUACAAAGGGAAUUCCGCCAAAAAGUUAAAUAAAAUACACAAAAAGGACGCAACUAAAUGGACAUUUAUUUAUUUACUUAACCAGCUUUCAUUAGGCACCGCAUCAGGAGGAGGGUCAAGUGGGGCGUGGCAGGUCCUUUAAAACGUGACCAGUUCUCGGGACACAAAUUUAAUUUGAUCUGCUGCCUGGUCAUUAAAUUGAAAACAAUUAGGCUGCCACACAAAGCCAAGCCGCAGGAGCUUCCCUGCAACUCAAGUUAUCGCCAAUGAAAAGUUGUAACUUGCAGCAUGAACCGAAGCAAGCGGGGAACGGAAACGAAUAUUUAAAAUGCCCUAUAAAAAAUCGCACAACAAAAUACUUAAUUACCCUAAAUGAAGUACUAGUUAGGCGUGAGCAUGCGGCAAGUUUAUACAGGAGUGGUCAACAGUACUUAAGCACU